GAUGAACGCUGGCGGCGUGCCUAAUACAUGCAAGUCGAGCGAACGGACGAGAAGCUUGCUUUUCUGAUGUUAGCGGCGGACGGGUGAGUAACACGUGGAUAACCUACCUAUAAGACUGGGAUAACUUCGGGAAACCGGAGCUAAUACCGGAUAAUAUUUUGAACCGCAUGGUUCAAAAGUGAAAGACGGUCUUGCUGUCACUUAUAGAUGGAUCCGCGCUGCAUUAGCUAGUUGGUAAGGUAACGGCUUACCAAGGCAACGAUGCAUAGCCGACCUGAGAGGGUGAUCGGCCACCCUGGAACUGGGACAUGGUCCAGACUCCUACGGGAGGCAGCAGUAGGGAAUCUUCCGCAAUGGGCGAAAGCCUGACGGAGCAACGCCGCGUGAGUGAUGAAGGUCUUCGGAUCGUAAAACUCUGUUAUUAGGGAAGAACAUAUGUGUAAGUAACUGUGCACAUCUUGACGGUACCUAAUCAGAAAGCCACGGCUAACUACGUG
rnacentral:rRNA from 1 species